UACGUAGGGUGCGAGCGUUAAUCGGAAUUACUGGGCGUAAAGCGUGCGCAGGCGGUUUUGUAAGACAGAUGUGAAAUCCCCGGGCUCAACCUGGGAACUGCAUUUGUGACUGCAAGGCUAGAGUACGGUAGAGGGGGAUGGAAUUCCGCGUGUAGCAGUGAAAUGCGUAGAUAUGCGGAGGAACACCGAUGGCGAAGGCAAUCCCCUGGACCUGUACUGACGCUCAUGCACGAAAGCGUGGGGAGCAAACAGG
rnacentral:rRNA from 1 species